UACGUAGGGUGCAAGCGUUAAUCGGAAUUACUGGGCGUAAAGCGUGCGCAGGCGGUUAUGCAAGACAGAUGUGAAAUCCCCGGGCUCAACCUGGGAACUGCAUUUGUGACUGCAUGGCUGGAGUGCGGCAGAGGGGGAUGGAAUUCCGCGUGUAGCAGCGAAAUGCGUAGAUAUGCGGAGGAACACCGAUGGCGAAGGCAAUCCCCUGGGCCUGCACUGACGCUCAUGCACGAAAGCGUGGGGAGCAAACAGG
rnacentral:rRNA from 1 species